UCAAACAUUGCGGGAGAGACCACCUUGAGCGGUGGCGCCGAAGGGGUAUCGCCCCAGAAACUCUCAGGCAAAAGAACCGCAAUGUCGUU
rnacentral:ncRNA from 2 species